rnacentral:rRNA from 1 species
GAUGAACGCUGGCGGCGUGCCUAAUACAUGCAAGUCGAGCGAACAGAUGAGGAGCUUGCUCCUCUGACGUUAGCGGCGGACGGGUGAGUAACACGUGGAUAACCUACCUAUAAGACUGGGAUAACUUCGGGAAACCGGAGCUAAUACCGGAUAAUAUAUUGAACCGCAUGGUUCAAUAGUGAAAAACGGUUUUGCUGUCACUUAUAGAUGGAUCCGCGCCGCAUUAGCUAGUUGGUAAGGUAACGGCUUACCAAGGCAACGAUGCGUAGCCGACCUGAGAGGGUGAUCGGCCACACUGGAACUUAGACACGGUCCAGACUCCUACGGGAGGCAGCAGUAGGGAAUCUUCCGCAAAGGGCGAAAGCCUGACGGAGCAACGCCGCGUGAGUGAUGAAGGUCUUCGGAUCGUAAAACUCUGUUAUUAGGGAAGAACAAAUGUGUAAGUAACUAUGCACGUCUUGACGGUACCUAAUCAGAAAGCCACGGCUAACUACGUG